CCUAUAAGAGGGUGCAUGCCUCAACCUCAAGUCUUACAUGAAAAACUCCUCAUGCCCAAAAAUACCUUACAUGGAAAUGUUUCACACCCAAGGUGGGUGUUCACCAAAAAGAGAAAAAGAUAUUCCAUGCUAAAAGAGGGCUAACGCCCUAAGUAACUUUUGAUGUGAAAGAGGCUUUGCGCCUCAUGCCAAAAAAAAGGUGGGUUUAUGUAAAAAAAGUUGGGUGCUGAAUUCCUUGAGAAGGGA
rnacentral:lncRNA from 1 species